UACGAAGGGGGCUAGCGUUGCUCGGAAUUACUGGGCGUAAAGGGAGCGUAGGCGGAUAGUUUAGUCAGAGGUGAAAGCCCAGGGCUCAACCUUGGAAUUGCCUUUGAUACUGGCUAUCUUGAGUGUGGGAGAGGUAUGUGGAACUCCGAGUGUAGAGGUGAAAUUCGUAGAUAUUCGGAAGAACACCAGUGGCGAAGGCGACAUACUGGCCCAUUACUGACGCUGAGGCUCGAAAGCGUGGGUAGCAAACAGG
rnacentral:rRNA from 1 species